rnacentral:lncRNA from 1 species
AGGUUGGAGUAUGAUAAGGUCCCCAGGUGUCCACAUGAAUCAGUUGAAAAGGCCUAGAGGUUCUAAUGGAGCUAUCAGGGAAAGGAAGCCUAGUCUGUUUGGCCAUAGGACAGACUAUACAGGGAAAGGGUUGUUUGGAAGCAAAAGGAAAAGACAGACCCGAAAUGCAUUUCAUAUUUGCAAAUGGAGUAUGUGCAAGUCUUAAGUCCAAAUGUAAUUCAUAUCAGAUGCAAAAUCAUUAUUACAAAUGGAACUAUUUAC